AGGUCCACCUGGCCCUGGUGCCCCAGGAUUGCCUUGCCCUGCGAUCACCAAUGUAAACCUCGCUUUAGACACUUAGUUGGUGCUCUUAAGUUGACUUAUGAAAUAAGACUUGACACUGGGGAACAACUCAUCAUAUGAUCCAGGUUUUUUGACGUUACCUGCUGUCAUCCAGGCUGGUAGAGUGGCUGCUCUACCCCUGCCUGCCAUAUUUCUCAAGCAGUAAAAUAGAAUGAAGCUCGUGAGACACGCUGAAAGAAUACAAUUUUGUCACAAGCCCAGACUUGAAGAUCCUAUCCCAUUAGAUGUCCCAACUUUAGAUUCAGGAUUCUUGACAUUGCACACACUUGCACAUCAUCGGCAACGCUGCAAGAUCGCAGCCGUACUCGCUUGAUUGCAUG
rnacentral:lncRNA from 1 species